rnacentral:rRNA from 1 species
CCUACGGGGGGCUGCAGUGGGGAAUAUUGGACAAUGGGGGCAACCCUGAUCCAGCCAUGCCGCGUGUGUGAAGAAGGCCCUCGGGUUGUAAAGCACUUUCAGUGAGGAAGAACGCCUGGUGGUUAAUACCCAUCAGGAAAGACAUCACUCACAGAAGAAGCACCGGCUAACUCCGUGCCAGCAGCCGCGGUAAUACGGAGGGUGCGAGCGUUAAUCGGAAUUACUGGGCGUAAAGCGCGCGUAGGUGGCUUGAUAAGCCGGUUGUGAAAGCCCCGGGCUCAACCUGGGAACGGCAUCCGGAACUGUCAAGCUAGAGUGCAGGAGAGGAAGGUAGACUUCCCGGUGUAGCGGUGAAAUGCGUAGAGAUCGGGAGGAAUACCAGUGGCGACGGCGGCCUUCUGGACUGACACUGACACUGAGGUGCGAAAGCGUGGGUAGCAAACAGGAUUAGAUACCCUUGUAGUC